rnacentral:lncRNA from 1 species
GCGCUUCCCUCCUGGCCCGGCCCGGCCCUGCCCGGUGCCGGUGCGGCCCGCCGGGGGCGGCGGGGGGAGCCGGGGCCGCCGGGGCCGCCUCUCACCUCGCUCGGGGCGGCGGGUCGGGCCCGCGCGCGUGCCCGGCCGUGCGCACGCGCCGGGGCGGAUGCGCGCGCCCCCUGGCGGAACCCGGCGCGCGCCGCAGGCCCCGCCCCGCCCCUCCCCUCACGGGGACUGAGGGAGCCGGGCCCGGCCGGGACAGCGGGAGCGGGACAGCGGGACCCGGGCUGGGCAGGGACCGGGACAGCGGGACCCGGGCUGGGGAGGGACCGGGAUCACACCGAGGCACACAGGCCGUGCCAGCCUCGUGUCCCGCGGGGAACAGCCCCGAGCCCCUCUGCCUGCCCGGGAGAGCCCCGCGCUUCUCCCACGGUCACCGGAGCAGCUCCCCCGGCUCCUGACUGUGUUCGGCCUCCAUCCCGGCAGCUCUAGAGGUUUUUCCUGCAUCUGGGAGUCAGGACUCUGUGUGGUUAAAGGAAGGAAUCAGCAUGUGGGGAUCUGGUUCCUGCUGUUCCCAGGAAAGGUGAUGCAUCUGCAAGCUGCACUCCAGGAAUCUCCAGCUGGAUACUCUGGGAUGAAUUCAGUGCUCACACGCUGCUACCCGGAGGUUUUAGUGAGUGAGGUCACUUUCAUUUGCUAUUUGGAAUUAUUUGCCGAUAAUUUGUGCUUCCCUGCAGCCCAGUGCAGGAGUGCAGGCCGAGCCCCAGGUGAAACACAACACUUUUGUGGUUCAAACCCAGAGGCCACACACACAGAAAUCAGGGGGAGCAUUGUCAGGCCUCUCUCUCCCUGCUCUCGGGGGGAUUUCUCGGCGCCGUUGGGAGGAGUUUUUGUGGCGUUUUCUGCCUCGGACACACGGUGGCGAUGGAAAUCACCUUUUCCUGCAGAGCUUCGGCCUUUGGACUGCUUGCUAACCACACGUGUGUGUGUCCCAGCAUGGAAGGAUGAAAUAUUUCUGUUCAAUCCCAAAUAAACGCUGACGUUUCAAUUGGCUGUGGCUCCAGAGAAUCCAGAACACUUUCUCGCUGGCAGUGUCACCGACCCUCACCCGGGCUGAUCUGCUGUGUUUGCACUGGGGCUGUCACCAGAGCCUGGUCAGGAGAGGUGGGACCAGCACUUGGCGUCACCAGAGGUAAAAACAUUUCCCCCGUGUGUUUUGGAGUUUGGUAGCUCAGGCUGAACUUCCUUUUUUUGAGACAGCAGAGUGGCAUGAGUUUCCCGUGCACGUGCUUGGAAUCAUGGAAUGAGAGUCAAUAACUAUGGCCAGUUUUGGAGCAGGACAGGGAAAGGUGUCAGGUGCAUUUACCACCCCUCCUGCAGAACACGGUUAUGAUUCAAACAUUUAAAAAGAAACCCAUUGCAAAGCGUGUGUGAACUCUGUGAAACAAUUGAAACACAGAUUAUUCCUGCCCAGACUUGAAUCCCAGGAUUGUUACGUGGAAAAGACCACAUCCAGGCAUGGGGGCCCCUCCACUGUCACCAGUUGAAUUUCAUGGAAUCUCCUGAGUUGGAAGGGCCCCACAAGGAUCAGCCUCACUGUCCCCCAGCUGAUCAUUGCAGUGCCCUCAGCCUCUCCUCACAUGCCUUUUCCUCCAGACCCCCCACCAUCUUCAUAGCCCAAAAAAUAACAAUUUUUAAAUUUUAUUUCCUUCCAAAUCCAAAUCCAUGCUGGGUUUUUAAGGUGAAUGUCUUUAACUCUCUGCUUUCCACGUGUUCGUGUCUCUGUGUGCCCUUGACUGGAGGAGUUGCUGCAGAUUUCAGAGAGUGAGGCAAUCCCUCCCCAGCAGUGUUUGGACAGCGUUUGGAGCUGGCUGGAUGUGCUGGGCUGGGCAGGCAGAGUGCAGGUGCAGGUUUUAGCAGGCCUGGAGCUCUGGGAGCAGCAGCCAGGAUGAACUCAGAGCCUGUUGUAAUCUCUGGUUUGGUAAGUUCUGUAUGUGGUUAUUAUCAGUGAUUUGGGACCAGCCCCUCAGCAAGCCAAGCACUCCCCCUCACUCCUGCAGCACUUGGGAUUUAGCACUGAGAGGAUUAACCAACACCAAACCCUUCUCUUCAUCUCCUCCAUGAAAUAAUUACUGAGGGAGGAUUCUUUGUGUGAAGGACACAUCUAUAGCUAUGCAUUUAUGUCUACAGAGGUAUAAAUAAAACUGUCCAUGCACAGAUUUCCCA